rnacentral:rRNA from 1 species
GACAGAGGGGGCAAGCGUUGCUCGGAAUUACUGGGCGUAAAGGGCGCGUAGGCGGCUUGGCAAGUGGAUGGUGAAAUCCCUCGGCUUAACCGAGGAACUGCCGUCCAAACUGCUUCGCUUGAGACCGGGAGAGGUGUGUGGAAUUCCCAGUGUAGCGGUGAAAUGCGUAGAUAUUGGGAGGAACACCAGUGGCGAAGGCGGCUCACUGGACCGGUACUGACGCUGAUGCGCGAAAGCGUGGGGAGCAAACGGG